GGCGAAGUGAACUACUGCUCUUGCACUCGAAGUCAGCGCUUGCCAUCGGCGAUUUUCAAACUUUUGCUUUUAAGAAUUCAUUUCCAAAGUCAGGAUGGAACGGCGUCUUGUAUCGUAUGCAAAUACGUCUGCUGACGUAGUUGAUCAUGUGGGUUUUGGCGUAGAUCCCCCUGUGAUCGCCAAUUUUUUUCGGCUGUUGUCUUUAGAAUUCGGCAGAAUCGUUACAAACGUGCGCUUCUGUAGGCUGUACACGCGGAAAAGUACGCAAUUUUGGAGUCUAGCUGUCAGUAACCUCACAUCCCAGCGUUUUCCGUUGGUUGGUGGGCAGACUGUGUGAUCUGGGAUGAAGUCUCAUGAAGUCUUCCAUUGGAGCUGACAUUCACAGUCAGCAGAAUCGUCCUUUACUGAUCCUUCACCAGACAAAGACCUGCCCAUUGCCCAUCAACAGAGUCCCCCUGCACUG
rnacentral:lncRNA from 1 species